rnacentral:rRNA from 1 species
AGAGUUUGAUCCUGGCUCAGGAUGAACGCUAGCGACAGGCUUAACACAUGCAAGUCGAGGGGCAGCAUGAUUUGUAGCAAUACAGAUUGAUGGCGACCGGCGCACGGGUGAGUAACGCGUAUGCAACUUACCUAUCAGAGGGGGAUAGCCCGGCGAAAGUCGGAUUAAUACCCCAUAAAACAGGGGUCCCGCAUGGGAAUAUUUGUUAAAGAUUCAUCGCUGAUAGAUAGGCAUGCGUUCCAUUAGGCAGUUGGCGGGGUAACGGCCCACCAAACCGACGAUGGAUAGGGGUUCUGAGAGGAAGGUCCCCCACAUUGGUACUGAGACACGGACCAAACUCCUACGGGAGGCAGCAGUGAGGAAUAUUGGUCAAUGGCCGAGAGGCUGAACCAGCCAAGUCGCGUGAAGGAAGAAGGAUCUAUGGUUUGUAAACUUCUUUUAUAGGGGAAUAAAGUGGAGGACGUGUCCUUUUUUGUAUGUACCCUAUGAAUAAGCAUCGGCUAACUCCGUGCCAGCAGCCGCGGUAAUACGGAGGAUGCGAGCGUUAUCCGGAUUUAUUGGGUUUAAAGGGUGCGUAGGUGGUGAUUUAAGUCAGCGGUGAAAGUUUGUGGCUCAACCAUAAAAUUGCCGUUGAAACUGGGUUACUUGAGUGUGUUUGAGGUAGGCGGAAUGCGUGGUGUAGCGGUGAAAUGCAUAGAUAUCACGCAGAACUCCGAUUGCGAAGGCAGCUUACUAAACCAUAACUGACACUGAAGCACGAAAGCGUGGGGAUCAAACAGGAUUAGAUACCCUGGUAGUCCACGCAGUAAACGAUGAUUACUAGGAGUUUGCGAUACAAUGUAAGCUCUACAGCGAAAGCGUUAAGUAAUCCACCUGGGGAGUACGCCGGCAACGGUGAAACUCAAAGGAAUUGACGGGGGCCCGCACAAGCGGAGGAACAUGUGGUUUAAUUCGAUGAUACGCGAGGAACCUUACCCGGGCUUAAAUUGCAGAUGAAUUACGGUGAAAGCCGUAAGCCGCAAGGCAUCUGUGAAGGUGCUGCAUGGUUGUCGUCAGCUCGUGCCGUGAGGUGUCGGCUUAAGUGCCAUAACGAGCGCAACCCUUAUCACUAGUUACUAACAGGUGAAGCUGAGGACUCUGGUGAGACUGCCAGCGUAAGCUGUGAGGAAGGUGGGGAUGACGUCAAAUCAGCACGGCCCUUACAUCCGGGGCGACACACGUGUUACAAUGGCAUGGACAAAGGGCAGCUACCUGGCGACAGGAUGCUAAUCUCCAAACCAUGUCUCAGUUCGGAUCGGAGUCUGCAACUCGACUCCGUGAAGCUGGAUUCGCUAGUAAUCGCGCAUCAGCCAUGGCGCGGUGAAUACGUUCCCGGGCCUUGUACACACCGCCCGUCAAGCCAUGGGAGCCGGGGGUACCUGAAGUGCGUAACCGCGAGGAGCGCCCUAGGGUAAAACUGGUGACUGGGGCUAAGUCGUAACAAGGUAGCCGUACCGGAAGGUGCGGCUG